GGGGAAUAUUGCACAAUGGGCGAAAGCCUGAUGCAGCGACGCCGCGUGAGCGAAGAAGUAUUUCGGUAUGUAAAGCUCUAUCAGCAGGGAAGAUAAUGACGGUACUCAACAAGGAAGUGACGGCUAACUACGUGCCAGCAGCCGCGGUAAAACGUAGGUCACAAGCGUUGUCCGGAAUUACUGGGUGUAAAGGGAGCGCAGGCGGGCGAUCAAGUUGGAAGUGAAAUCCAUGGGCUCAACCCAUGAACUGCUUUCAAAACUGAUUGUCUUGAGUAGUGCAGAGGUAGGCGGAAUUCCCGGUGUAGCGGUGGAAUGCGUAGAUAUCGGGAGGAACACCAGUGGCGAAGGCGGCCUACUGGGCACCAACUGACGCUGAGGCUCGAAAGUGUGGGUAGCAAACAGGAUUAGAUACCCUGGUAGUCCACACCGUAAACGAUGAUUACUAGGUGUUGGAGGAUUGACCCCUUCAGUGCCGCAGUUAACACAAUAAGUAAUCCACCUGGGGAGUACGACCGCAAGGUUGAAACUCAAAGGAAUUGACGGGGGCCCGCACAAGCAGUGGAGUAUGUGGUUUAAUUCGACGCAACGCGAAGAACCUUACCAAGUCUUGACAUCCCUUGACGAUGCUGGAAACAGUAUUUCUCUUCGGAGCAAGGAGACAGGUGGUGCAUGGUUGUCGUCAGCUCGUGUCGUGAGAUGUUGGGUUAAGUCCCGCAACGAGCGCAACCCUUAUUGCCAGUUACUACGAAAGAGGACUCUGGCGAGACUGCCGUUGACAAAACGGAGGAAGGUGGGGAUGACGUCAAAUCAUCAUGCCCUUUAUGACCUGGGCUACACACGUACUACAAUGGCGUUUAACAAAGAGAAGCAAGACCGCGAGGUGGAGCAAAACUCAAAAACAACGUCUCAGUUCAGAUUGCAGGCUGCAACUCGCCUGCAUGAAGUCGGAAUUGCUAGUAAUCGCGGAUCAGCAUGCCGCGGUGAAUACGUUCCCG
rnacentral:rRNA from 1 species